UACGGAGGGUGCAAGCGUUAUCCGGAUUCACUGGGUUUAAAGGGUGCGUAGGCGGGCAAGUAAGUCCGUGGUGAAAUCUCUGAGCUUAACUCAGAAACUGCCAUGGAUACUAUUUGUCUUGAAUAUUGUGGAGGUAAGCGGAAUAUGUCAUGUAGCGGUGAAAUGCUUAGAUAUGACAUAGAACACCAAUUGCGAAGGCAGCUUACUACACAGUUAUUGACGCUGAGGCACGAAAGCGUGGGGAUCAAACAGG
rnacentral:rRNA from 1 species